rnacentral:rRNA from 1 species
UAAGGAAUAUUGGUCAAUGGACGCAAGUCUGAACCAGCCAUGCCGCGUGAAGGAUGAAGGUCCUCUGGAUUGUAAACUUCUUUUAUCUGGGACGAAAACGGGAUUUUUAUCUCAAUUGACGGUACCAGAGGAAUAAGCACCGGCUAACUCCGCGCCAGCCGCCGCGGUAAUACGAAGGAUGCAAGCGUUAUCCGGAAUUAUUGGGUUUAAAGGGUGCGUAGGCGGACUAAUAAGUCAGUGGUGAAAGCCUGCAGCUUAACUGCAGAAUUGCCAUUGNUACUGUUAGUCUUGAGUACAGUUGAGUUAGGCGGAAUGUGUCAUGUAGCGGUGAAAUGCUUAGAUAUGACACAGAACACCGAUUGCGAAGGCAGCUUGCUAAGCUGUAACUGACGCUGAGGCACGAAAGCGUGGGGAGCAAACA